UCAUAGGUUGACUUGUUUUGGUGGUUAAUAUAACUUGCUUGUUUGUUUGUAGUCAGAAAAGUAUUUUUGGUGUGAGUAUUGUUAGAGAAAUUAGUUUAUUGCGAUAGUGGAUGAGUACCGUGAGGGAAAAUUGAAAUAAUCAUAAAAUUAAGUUAAAAGUAUAAGUAGGAUUUAGUACCUUGUGUAUUAGGGAUACUUUAUAUUAGGUAGUUAUAUAUAUUUCUCCCGAAAUAAGGAUAGCUAAGUUGAGAGGUGAGUUUUUAUUGCAAAAAAAUUUGUAAUCUUAUUUUAGUAGUGAAAUGUUAAUCGGGCCUUAAGAUAUCUGGUUUUCUCUGAAAAAAAUUUAAUUUUUUCUUUAUGUUGGAGGUUAGAAUAGGUAGGGCAUAGGCAUAGAGGGGUAAAGCUCUUUAUGCGAGAGAUUUUUAAUUAUAGGGAUAAAUAAAGGUACUUCCGGACUAGGCUUAGAAGUAGCCAUGUUUUCAAUGGGUUACACCUGAGGUAUGGAGUCUAUAAUAUUUAUUUGUUUUUUAGGGGAGUAGGAGAGAGCUAUUUUAAGUUGAAUUUAGUAGUUUAAGAUGAGUGUAUUAGUAUAUACUGUUUUACUGUUUAUAAUUUUAUUAGGGAGUUUAAUAAAUUUAAAAGUGGGGGAGACUAAAAGAAGGAAUUCGGCAAAAAAGUUUAUUUCCGCCUGUUUAUCAAAAACAUGUCUGUAUGGUAGGUAUAUAAAGUCUGGCCUGCCCACUGAGGGUAUUUAAAGGCCGCGGUAUUAUGACCGUGCGAAGGUAGCAUAAUCAUUAGUCUUUUAAUUGAGGGCUGGUAUGAAGGGUCGGACGAGAAAUGAGCUGUCUUAAAUUUUGAAAAUUGAAUUUAACUUUUAAGUGAGAAGGCUUAAAUAGGCUAGGGGGACGAUAAGACCCUAUAAAGUUUGACACUAAAUUAAUUAGGGGUGAUUUAGACAGUAAAGUCUUAUUAUUAUAUAAGUGUUUAGUUGGGGCGACUAGGAUAUAAGUUAUUUAACUGUUUCUUCAUUCGAAUCAAAAAUUUUUGAUUUUAUGGUCCUUUUUUAGGAUAUUAGAGUAAAUUACUUUAGGGAUAACAGCGUAAUUUUUUUUGAGAGUUCUUAUCGAUAAGAGAGUUUGCGACCUCGAUGUUGAAUUAAAAUUUCUUUGUAAUGCAGCAGUUACAAGAGAGGGUCUGUUCGACCUUUAAAUUUUUACAUGAUUUGAGUUCAGACCGGCGUGAGCCAGGUUGGUUUCUAUCUCCUAGGGAAAAACAAGAAUUGUUUUAGUACGAAAGGAUUAAAUAAUUGAAAUAGUUUUAAAGAUACAAAAAUGAAUUGUAUGUAAUGUUUUUAUUAUUGCGUCAGAAAAAAAGUGAAAA
rnacentral:rRNA from 13 species